rnacentral:rRNA from 1 species
GACGAACGCUGGCGGCGUGCCUAAUACAUGCAAGUCGAACGCAGUGGGGACGGGUGAGUAACACGUGGGUAACCUCCCCUCAGAGGGGAUAACACUUGGACACAGGUGCUAAUCCGAUACUGAUGGAUGGACCCGCGGUGCAUUAGCUAGUUGGUGGGGUAACGGCUCACCAAGGCCACGAUGCAUAGCCGACCUGAUAGGGUGAUCGGGCACACUGGGACUGAGAAACGGCCCAGACUCCUACGGGAGGCAGCAGUAGGGAAUCUUCGGCAAGGGACGAAAGUCGGACCGAGCAACGCCGCGUGAAUGAAGAAGGUUUUCGGAUCGUGAAACUCUGUUGUUAGAGAAGCGGUAUCUAACCAGGAAGACACGGCUAACUACGUGCCAGCAGCCGCGGUAAUUC